AACUCUUCUAUUUCAAUAGCAUACAGUGGUAUUUUGAAUAUAAGGGAAUCGAGUAAUAUGAAUUGUCUUCAGUUUUCUGAUACUAUUACAAGUAUAAGGUGUGUAAUUUGUAUUUCUGAUUGAUUUUGACAGUGACUUAGCUCAUCACAUUGCUCUGGGCCAGUGGGCAACUAAAUUUGGCAAAGACAUUGAGGUGCAUCUCUCCAACAACUUAUGUACCUGGAUGCACAUGUCUAUAUUUCUGAUUUGACCCAAAAACCUUUAUAUUGCUUAUUUAACACUUUGCCCAAUUGUUGCAGGGUUUCCCUCAUCAAACUACUGUAAAUUCUUGUGGCAUCUUAAUGUUGAUGGUACAUUGCUUUUUAGUCUCUGAUUAAAGGUUUUUGGGUUUUUUUUAUUAUCUGAAAAUGAUAUAACCUCACAGAUCUUUGCCUUUUACACUUUACAGUAUGCACUCAGCCUGAGCACAGAGGCUCCAUUUUGGUUCAUUGAGGUCAGUAUUGUUCUUCUCACAUAGGAGCAAGUAUAAGAGGAACUUAAAUCCACCCUAACAUGACAUUGACUUUGGUUAAUAGUUAAUAUUUUCCAGAAGUCUAACUAAGCAUGAUCUAUAAAGUACUUUGCACUACAGUAUUAACCACACAUCAAAGAACUGUUUGUGGGACUAUUUAACAUGGCUCUAUAACUUUUUGUACUCUGCUGUAAUUGACAUGCCAAUGGUUUGCAGACAAAUAGUGAUUUGUGACUGAACAUGAACAUUACUCCUCAACUUAAUUAUUCUAUUUCUUUUAGAGGGACAUGGCACGCAUCUGAAAAUGGUGGUGCAUUAGUCUAAUGGAACAGUUCCAGAUUGACGGGUAAGACAACUCUAAAUGUUACUUCCUACAAUACAUUGCUUCUACAUUAGUUUACUUUUUUUAUUAUUUUACUAAUAUCUUACUCAAAAGCCAUGGACAGAGGUUUGCAUACUGGACUAAUGAGGCCAGAGCAUUGCUCCAAGGUUCACUGCAGCCGAUAUACAGGGUCAGCAAGAGGGAACAUGAGUGGUACUACAGGAAGGAGAUAAGGCAUACUUAAGAUUGGCUCUUGUGUGUCCACUGACUCCUUCAGGAGACGGGCACAUUUUCAGUGGCUUGACAGUAAGUGUUUAAAUAAAGGGUGCUGUGGUAUACAAUACUUGAGUACCUCACGUGUGUUUUCACUAACCUUAUGGAAAUGUUCACUUUUGAUUGAUAAUUUGUUUUUCACAGGUGUCGCUACAUGGAGCAGGUUUUCUGAGUCCUAAAGAAAAGAAUUCUACACCAUGUACACCGUGGACACCUGUCGUGAAUGUGGAAUGCUUUUCAAAAACUGCACACCUGGUAAACAUCUUAACACUGGAUGGAUUUGAAUCUAUGUCAUUACACUCAGUAUUGAUGUCAUAACUACGCUUAGACCACAUCCUGAGUCUAGUGGUCACUGGUCAGUAUAAUCAUCAUUCUGUUUUUUCUUUUUCUUUUACAGGAUAUGUUGGAACAGGACAAAGGGGUGUACUUGAAGCAGUUUACUCAGAAGGUUACUGCGAUCACUUUUGCCGCCAAAUGCAAUAGGUAAAAAGAAGGUGUUUGUGUGUAACAAAGGGGUCUGGGGGAAAAAAUAAUUGAAUAUGUAUUUGCUACAUUUAUUUACUUAUUUUCUCUUUCAGUGAGAAUGGACAGGUAUACUAACUGUUGGCAGACAACCCUGAGCCAGCUGGGUGUUUUUCAAGCUGCAGGCCCCCGUGACAAUUUGUGGCUGGAAACUUGGGAUUGAAUUUUGAAUUCUCCAGUGUUAUUACAGACUGUUAAUUAAUUGUUUAUGACAAAAAAGAGAUGUCAUAUGUUUAAACAACCUUUGGGUGAACUUUUUGUAUAAUUUUAAAAAUGUUAAAACUAACAUCUAUUGAGAGUCUACUUUAUGCUUUUUUGGUUUUAAUAACGUCCUGUUCAAUGUGUAAUAAAAUUCAAAUCCUCUGAAUAUUGAGUCCAUUUCUGAACACUAGGGAGAUCGUGUGUACAACUGGUGAUCCGGUUUAUUGAAUGCAUUGCACCAAUAUGAUUUCUACCCAGAGCUGUACAUUUAUCAUUUGUUAAUAUUAUAAUACAGACAGUCUGACAUUUCCAUACCCACAGGAUUAAAGGGCC
ensembl:lncRNA